GUCUACGGCCAUGCCACCCUGAACAAGCCCGAUCCCGUCUGAUCUCAGAAGCUAAGCAGGGUCGGGCCUGGUUAGUACUUGGAUGGGAAACCGCCUAGGAAGACCAGGUGCUGUAGGCA
rnacentral:rRNA from 1 species